AUUGAACGCUGGCGGCAGGCCUAACACAUGCAAGUCGAACGGUAACAGGAAGAAGCUUGCUUCUUUGCUGACGAGUGGCGGACGGGUGAGUAAUGUCUGGGAAACUGCCUGAUGGAGGGGGAUAACUACUGGAAACGGUAGCUAAUACCGCAUAACGUCGCAAGACCAAAGAGGGGGACCUUCGGGCCUCUUGCCAUCGGAUGUGCCCAGAUGGGAUUAGCUAGUAGGUGGGGUAACGGCUCACCUAGGCGACGAUCCCUAGCUGGUCUGAGAGGAUGACCAGCCACACUGGAACUGAGACACGGUCCAGACUCCUACGGGAGGCAGCAGUGGGGAAUAUUGCACAAUGGGCGCAAGCCUGAUGCAGCCAUGCCGCGUGUAUGAAGAAGGCCUUCGGGUUGUAAAGUACCUUCAGCGGGGAGGAAGGGAGUAAAGUUAAUACCUUUACUCAUUGACGUUACCCGCAGAAGAAGCACCGGCUAACUCCGUG
rnacentral:rRNA from 1 species